AAAGAGUGCAGUUUUAUACUGUUCAUGUCUAGGUAUUUGACUGUUCGUCUUAUUCCAAAUUUUUUUAUGAUUAGUAUUUUUAUUACUAUUAGAUGAUAAAACAUGAAUAAUAUUUUAUGUGUGACUAUUAUUUUAUUUUUUUCAUAUUUUUUUAAAUAAGAUGGAUGAUCAAACGUUGAAUACGGAUAUCCACGACUGCACUUACU
rfam:Oryza punctata chromosome 3, whole genome shotgun sequence.